UGCCAACAGCCCCAAAAUUUAUCAUCAUUCCUCAAAAACAUGAUUUAACAAUUUUAAAGUGAUUUUAUUAAAAAGAUAAAAACACACAAAAUCUUUCUAAUAAAUUUCAAUCGGCCAAAUUUUUUUGGCGGUGCUGUCUCUUCUGAGAAGAGUACCCAAUUCUUCGUCCAAUCCUCGGCAUCUUUGUCAGUACAAUGGUGAGUGCAACAGCCACAGGACCAAGGAGAAAAAGUUCCUUAAAAUUACCAUUACCAUCAAAUGAGACGACAAAUCUUCUCACUACCUACGUCAUUCUUAUCCUGCUUUUAGCAGCCCUCUAUAUUCUCUACUCUUUCUUCUAAUCACUUGGAAAAACAGAGAUUCAUUAUGGGUUAAUCUAAAAAUGUUCCUUGAAAAGAUCUUGCCAAAGAUGAGAUUCAGAUGGCAGGACCCUCCAGGAUGAACAAAAUAUUAUCAAUCGUUCCAGGGGCUUGUCGAUUAAUCUUCACAGAUUAAGCCUUGCAAUAAUGACCAAUUACCAUAGUAUAUCAUAGAAUAUAUAUGUUUUAAUAAAUAAGAGCAGUGUCAAAAAGUCAAAAUAACAUUUAAAAAUCUACUUUUUUCAACAAAUAAAUAAAUUAAUCCGAAAUAU